UACCUUUAUAUAAGUAAAAAUAAAAUAAAAACCAAAAUUCUGUGGCGCUCGCGGGCCGCGUAGCAUUCUUUCCAUUUCGUCGCGGGCCGCGACAGCUCAAAGACCAGAUCUCCUCCGGUGCCGCCAUGUGUCGAUGACUCAGCGACCCUUCGCCGCCUUACCAGUCCUCGCGGGCCGCGUAAGACCUUGGUAUGAAAGUUUCGGCCGUUCAUUUGAAUUCGUUCACAAAUGACUUUCUCUCUCAAAUUUCUAUAGGGUAGUCACUAUACCCGGGCAUUAUACCCCCCCUAAUUAGCGAAGCUCUGCGUCGUUGUAAGUAUCAUAACCACUGGAUACGUAUUAGAUACUCUGCCCGAUUGAUCUAGGGUUCCGUAACGGCUGUCGUGGUUCUGCCCGACGUAGUCGUUGGAAUGCCGUCUCGGGGAGGAUUAUAACCAGGGAAUCAC
rnacentral:lncRNA from 1 species